rnacentral:rRNA from 1 species
GACAGAGGGUGCAAACGUUGUUCGGAAUUACUGGGCGUAAAGCGCGUGUAGGCGGCUAAGUAAGUCGGGCGUGAAAUCCCACGGCUCAACCGUGGAAGUGCACUCGAAACUGCAUAGCUAGAGUCCUGGAGAGGAAGGUGGAAUGCUUGGUGUAGAGGUGAAAUUCGUAGAUAUCAAGCGGAACACCGGUGGCGAAGGCGGCCUCUGGACAGUGACUGACGCUGAGACGGCGAAAG